AACAAACGCUGGCGGCGUGCCUAACACAUGCAAGUCGUACGAGAAAGUCGGCUUCGGCCGAUGAGUACAGUGGCGCACGGGUGAGUAGCGCGUGGGUAAUCUGCCCCCCGGUCAGGAAUAACCCGCCGAAAGGCGGGCUAAUACCCGAUAACACUGACGCUCCGCGGAGCGUCUUUCAAAGAAGGCCUCUGUUUACAAGCUUUCGCCGGAGGAUGAGCCCGCGUACCAUUAGCUAGUUGGCAGGGUAAUGGCCUACCAAGGCUACGAUGGUUAGCUGGUCUGAGAGGAUGGCCAGCCACACUGGAACUGAGACACGGUCCAGACUCCUACGGGAGGCAGCAGUGAGGAAUCUUGCGCAAGUGGGGAGACCCUGACCCAGCGACGCCGCGUGAGGGACGAAGGUUUUCGGAUCGUAAACCUCUGUGUACGGGAAGAAGGAUGUGACGGUACCGUACGGAGGAACGCCCCGGACAAACUACGUGCCAGCAGCCGACGGUAAAAGUGUGUGUA
rnacentral:rRNA from 1 species